rnacentral:rRNA from 1 species
CCUACGGGGGGCUGCAGUGGGGAAUCUUCCGCAAUGGACGAAAGUCUGACGGAGCAACGCCGCGUGAGUGAUGACGGCCUUCGGGUUGUAAAGCUCUGUUAAUCGGGACGAAAGGCCUUCUUGCGAAUAGUGAGAAGGAUUGACGGUACCGGAAUAGAAAGCCACGGCUAACUACGUGCCAGCAGCCGCGGUAAUACGUAGGUGGCAAGCGUUGUCCGGAAUUAUUGGGCGUAAAGCGCGCGCAGGCGGAUAGGUCAGUCUGUCUUAAAAGUUCGGGGCUUAACCCCGUGAUGGGAUGGAAACUGCCAAUCUAGAGUAUCGGAGAGGAAAGUGGAAUUCCUAGUGUAGCGGUGAAAUGCGUAGAUAUUAGGAAGAACACCAGUGGCGAAGGCGACUUUCUGGACGAAAACUGACGCUGAGGCGCGAAAGCCAGGGGAGCGAACGGGAUUAGAUACCCUAGUAGUC